rnacentral:rRNA from 1 species
GUCUACGGCCAUACCACCCUGAACGCGCCCGAUCUCGUCUGAUCUCGGAAGCUAAGCAGGGUCGGGCCUGGUUAGUACUUGGAUGAAAGACUAAGAUGGGUUCCCUCUGCACUCUGAAUGAAAUCCUGUUCCCAGAGG